rnacentral:rRNA from 1 species
GAUGAACGCUGGCGGCGUGCCUAAUACAUGCCAGUCGAGCGAACAGACGAGGAGCUUGCUCCUCUGACGUUAGCGGCGGACGGGUGAGUAACACGUGGAUAACCUACCUAUAAGACUGGGAUAACUUCGGGAAACCGGAGCUAAUACCGGAUAAUAUAUUGAACCGCAUGGUUCAAUAGUGAAAGACGGUUUUGCUGUCACUUAUAGAUGGAUCCGCGCCGCAUUAGCUAGUUGGUAAGGUAACGGCUUACCAAGGCGACGAUGCGUAGCCGACCUGAGAGGGUGAUCGGCCACACUGGAACUGAGACACGGUCCAGACUCCUACGGGAGGCAGCAGUAGGGAAUCUUCCGCAAUGGGCGAAAGCCUGACGGAGCAACGCCGCGUGAGUGAUGAAGGUCUUCGGAUCGUAAACCUCUGUUAUUAGGGAAGAACAAAUGUGUAAGUAACUAUGCACGUCUUGACGGUACCUAAUCAGAAAGCCACGGCUAACUACGUG